GACGAACCGAGCGAACGUUAUUCGGAAUCACUGGGCUUAAAGGGUGCGUAGGCGGGUCCGUCAGUCAGGGGUGAAAUCCCACGGCCCAACCGUGGAAGUGCCUCUGAUACCGCCGGCCUCGAGGGGGGUAGGGGCGAGCGGAACGCUGGGUGGAGCGGUGAAAUGCGUUGAUAUCCAGCGGAACUCCGGUGGUGAAGGCGGCUCGCUGGGCCCUCUCUGACGCUGAGGCGCGAAAGCCAGGGGAGCGAACGGG
rnacentral:rRNA from 1 species